UACGUAGGGGGCAAGCGUUGUCCGGAAUCAUUGGGCGUAAAGAGCGCGUAGGCGGUCCGGUAAGUCGGCUGUGAAAGUCAAGGGCUCAACCCUUGGAGGCCGGCCGAUACUGUCGGGCUAGAGUCCGGAAGAGGCGAGUGGAAUUCCCGGUGUAGCGGUGAAAUGCGCAGAUAUCGGGAGGAACACCAAUGGCGAAGGCAGCUCGCUGGGACGGUACUGACGCUGAGGCGCGAAAGCGUGGGGAGCAAACAGGAUUAGAAACCCCCGUAGUCC
rnacentral:rRNA from 1 species